rnacentral:rRNA from 1 species
GAUGAACGCUGGCGGCGUGCCUAACACAUGCAAGUCGAGCGUGAACCCUGCGAAUGAAACUUCGGUCGAUUUUGCAGGGGGAAAGCGGCGGACGGGUGAGUAACGCGUAGGUAACCUGCCCCAUACUGAGGGAUAGCCUCGGGAAACCGGGAUUAAUACCUCAUAACACCGUAUAUUCGCAUGGAUGUGCGGUCAAAGAUUUAUCGGUAUGGGAUGGGCCUGCGUCUGAUUAGCUGGUUGGUGGGGUAACGGCCUACCAAGGCGACGAUCAGUAGCCGACCUGAGAGGGUGAUCGGCCACAUUGGAACUGAGACACGGUCCAAACUCCUACGGGAGGCAGCAGUGGGGAAUAUUGCACAAUGGGCGAAAGCCUGAUGCAGCAACGCCGCGUGAGCGAAGAAGGCCUUUGGGCGUAAAGCUCUGUCGGGUAGGAAGAUAAUGACGGUACUACCCGAGGAACGCCCGGCUAACUACGUG